ACAGCAGCAGCCGCGGGAAUACAGAGGGUGCGAGCGUUAAUCGGAUUUACUGGGCGUAAAGCGUGCGUAGGCGGCUUCUUAAGUCGGAUGUGAAAUCCCUGAGCUUAACUUAGGAAUUGCAUUCGAUACUGGGAAGCUAGAGUAUGGGAGAGGAUGGUAGAAUUCCAGGUGUAGCGGUGAAAUGCGUAGAUAUCUGGAGGAAUACCGAUGGCGAAGGCAGCCAUCUGGCCUAAUACUGACGCUGAGGUACGAAAGCAUGGGGAGCAAACAGGAUUAGAUACCCCCGUAGUCCCUGUCUCUUAUAA
rnacentral:rRNA from 1 species